rnacentral:rRNA from 1 species
AUUGAACGCUGGCGGCAGGCCUAACACAUGCACGUCGAACGGUAACAGGAAGCAGCUUGCUGCUUUGCUGACGAGUGGCGGGCGGGUGAGUAAUGUCUGGGAAACUGCCUGAUGGAGGGGGAUAACUACUGGAAACGGUAGCUAAUACCGCAUAACGUCGCAAGACCAAAGAGGGGGACCUUCGGGCCUCUUGCCAUCGGAUGUGCCCAGAUGGGAUUAGCUAGUAGGUGGGGUAACGGCUCACCUAGGCGACGAUCCCUAGCUGGUCUGAGAGGAUGACCAGCCACACUGGAACUGAGACACGGUCCAGACUCCUACGGGAGGCAGCAGUGGGGAAUAUUGCACAAUGGGCGCAAGCCUGAUGCAGCCAUGCCGCGUGUAUGAAGAAGGCCUUCGGGUUGUAAAGUACUUUCAGCGGGGAGGAAGGGAGUAAAGUUAAUACCUUUGCUCAUUGACGUUACCCGCAGAAGAAGCACCGGCUAACUCCGUG